UGGACAGAAACCGGCUCCCACCCUCUGCACCUCUAGCCUGCUACCCUCAGUGCCGCAUCCAGUUUAAGAACCCAAGCACAGAAAACAAACCCACUUGCAUGAUUUGGUUAAUCUCUGCCAGUAGCCGUGUUGUUGGCCUCUGGAUCCAAAGAGAAGGUUGAUGCUGCCCUUGGGACCAGGCGUGUUAGACGUGGGCUAUCAAUGUCCGAUUUCCUCCUGCUUUCGAUUGCGGAGCCUCAGUUGUAUUUGGGCAGCAACUACCUACAGGAAUAACACUUGUAGUUUCGGUCAGAUUCAUUCAGCUUCUGGCUCUUUCAUCGCACCAAAGCAAUUGGCAUUGCAGCUGUUUGCUCGUGGUGCUAUUCCCAGCGUAACCUAUGAGGGAAAGAAGCUGUUUCCACCUCAGAUACUAGCCGGGCGUUCUGAAGCUGCCUGUGUUCCUCAGUCCUGCUUUAAGAAAGGAAGAUUGGACACCUCGACGACUGGGGCCAAAGAACUCUCCUUCAUUCCCAUCCCGUCCCCCUCGAGUUUGCAUUCCCUUUGCAAUAAUCCCUUUUACAAAGACUUCUGUUCAAAUAA